AAUGGUGAAACCGCGAAUGGCUCAUUAAAUCAGUUAUGGUUCCUUAGAGCUCCUGAUCCUACAUGGAUAACUGUAGUAAUUCUAGAGCUAAUACAUGCAACUAAGCUCCGACCUUCGGGGACGAGCGCACUUAUUAGACCAUGAUCAACCGGGGGCAACCCCGAACGACUGGUGACUCUGGAUAAACUACCGCGGAUCGCAUGGCCUCGAGCUGGCGAUUCAUCUUACAACUGUCUGACCUAUCAACUAGAAGGUAGAGUAUAUGUCUACCUUGGUGAUGACGGGUAACGGGGAAUCAGGGUUCGAUUCCGGAGAGGGAGCAUGAGAAACGGCUACCACAUCCAAGGAAGGCAGCAGGCACGCAAAUUACCCACUCCUGGCAAGGGGAGGUAGUGACGAAAAAUAACAAUACGGGACUCUUUCGAGGCCCCGUAAUUGGAAUGAGUACGAUGUAAAAUCCCUAACGAGGAACUAAUGGAGGGCAAGUCUGGUGCCAGCAGCCGCGGUAAUUCCAGCUCCAUUAGCGUAUAUUAAAGCUGUUGCAGUUAAAAAGCUCGUAGUUGGAUCUGGGGAGCAGGCUGGCGGGACCGCUUCACUGCGGAACUGCCUGUCCUGCCCUUUGCGCCGGGCUUCACAACAUGCGGGUUGCUCUUCAAUGAGUGUCUCCGCGUGGCCCGGUACUCUUACUUUGAAAAAAUUAGAGUGCUCUAAGCAGGCGGACACGCCUGAAUAAUGUUGCAUGGAAUAAUGGAACAGGACCUCGGUUCUGUGAAGUUGGUCGUCAGAACUGAAGUAAUGAUCAAUAGGGGCUGACGGGGGCAUCCGUAUUACGGGGCGAGAGGUGAAAUUCUAUGACCCUCGUAAGACGCCCAAAAGCGAAAGCAUUUGCCAAGAAUGCCUUCAUUAAUCAAGAACGAAAGUCAGAGGAUCGAAGACGAUCAGAUACCGUCGUAGUUCUGACCGUAAACGCUGGCGUCUGGUGAUUGUCAGGCGUGGGUCUAACGACCCUGACAGCAACCCCUCGGGAAACCAAAGAUUUUGGCUUCCGGGGGGAGUAUGGUUGCAAAGCUGAAACUUAAAGGAAUUGACGGAAGGGCACCACCAGGAGUGGAGCCUGCGGCUUAAUUUGACUCAACACGGGAAACCUCACCCGGCCCAGACACUGUAAGGAUGAC
rnacentral:rRNA from 1 species